GGACCAUAGAGCCUACCUCCUAUUGGAUAGCCGCGGGCAAACAUGUAGGAGGAGAAAAGCCUCCAUACCUUCAUGACAUCCAUCUAUCUGACAACUGGGCUGCGAGAGUAGUGGUGUCUAUACUGUAUAAGUGAAGAAAAUGAGACUCAGGCUCGGUACACUGCUCGAUGAUGUACAAUUACGUGUAGUGGUGAAUGUGAGAUUAAACCUUGGAUUUGUCUGGCUCUGACAUCUCCAUGCCUUCCACAACAGUAAAACUCAGAAGACAGAGAGGGUGGUACUUCCAGAUGACCCAGUGACAAUGGAGCACUGCCAAGUAAACCCCAAGAAAAUGUACAGACUCAACGUGAAGUUUUGUUGGCUUCUGAGAAAGUGGUUUGCAUCUCACAGAAGCUUCCUGUUGAUCUCUUCUACAAUAUUUUGAAAUCUCAAUAUUGAUUUCUUUCGGAGGAGCUCCCUUGAGAUAUCGUGCCAACCUCAUUCAGUGACGACACCCAGCUCACUUGAGGACAAUCGAUGAUCUAUUCUGGACCUGAUCAAAUUGCUUGGUGUUACUGUGAUUAUGCAUCCUCCCGGACUGAGAGCAAUCAGGCAGCGAAUUAUCAGGACAUUGACAGAUUAGCCUCAUCAGUUACCUGCUGUGACCACCAGUUUUCUGUAUAUUAAUAAGGAAAAAAAUAGCCUGCUGAUUGUCAUUUAAAUUACAUGAGGAUAUAUUUGUCUUUCAGAACUCCAAGGCGUUUAAAUGUGAUGUAAGAUCAAAAUUCAUUAAAGAAGGCCAAGAGAUGUUCCAGCAAACAUUUCCCAAGAGGUUAAAGUGUAACACUUGCAUAGUAGAGUAGAUAAGUACAUUUUGUGCUUCAUCAUUUUCAAUAUGAAACACAAUUUAAACCAAAAAACAUUUAUGUAAGCAUUGACUCUGGGUAAAAGACUAUGCUGGGCCCUGUGAAUAAAAAGAUGUCUUGUGGGCACGUACCUUCCAGUGCACACUGGUGGCUUCUCGAUGCCAGGUCUGCAACUCUUCUGAGAACUUUCUUUGGCCGUGGGACUUGCUCAGUGAGCAUGCAAAGCAGGCUGGAAGAAUCAGGGGGUUGAUGCCCUGGGAGCAGCCCCAGCCAGUGACAAAUAGGGGCUUUCUUGGCCCUCAGGUGGGACAAUUCUUGGGUGUAUGCUGCACCAUCUCUUAGAGAUACCCAGUAGAACUCUCUCAGUAACCCAGAGUGCUUGAUGCUGAUUAACUUACCCUACACUGGCUUUCUUCCCUUGCCUGCCUCACUCCUCCACUCUCCUGAUGGGUGCUUCCUGGGAUCACUUUCCAAAUUAACUACCUGCACCCAAAUCCUUGUAACAGAUUGUGCUUCUGAGGAAUUCACCCCAAGAGAGCAGACAAGCACAAGGCAAGUGAAAUAACCAGCAAACCAUCUAGCUGUUUAAAGUAAGAACAGAGUGUAUAAGAGAAAUAAUAGUAGAAGCAGUAAAGUUUUGGGCUUUACUCUUACUUUACUCUGUGCUAGAAAUUAUGCAAAGCACUUUUACACAUUCUACUGCAUUUAAUAAUUAGAAAACCCCUAGGGUGCCUGGAUGGCUCAGUGGUUAAGCCUCUGCCUUCGGCUCAGGUCAUGAUCCCAGGGUCCUGGGAUCGAGCCCCGCAUCAGCCUCCCUGCUCAGUGGGGAGCCUGCUUCUCCCUCUCCCACUGCCCCUGCUUGUGUUUCCUCUCUCUCUCUGUGUCUCUGUCAGACAAAUAAAUAAUAUCUAAAAAAUAAAAAAAGGUAGGUACUCUUAUAACUCAGAGGUACAGAGAGGUUAAGAUGCUUAAGAUCACACAUAUGUCCAGUUGGGGAAAGGAGAAUUCAAUUGUAUUUCUUUGAGAUGCAGAAACUAUUUCAAAAUCCAGUACUCUUCUGCCUCCCUGAUGUUGUAUGGUUAUUGAAUCCCAAUUUGCAGAGCUCCCCAGGUGGGGAGCACGGAGGCACUAGGUCCUGAGUCGCCUUAGAAGUUCAUGAGACAACUGAGGAACAUCAGAGGGGAUCCCUCAGGUUGCUUGGUAUUCUAACAAGAAAGGAAUGUUAACAGUGUGAGCAAAGCUGUGGUCUGGAAACAUCAGAGGAACUCCAGCCAUCCAGAACCCUACCCAGACACCCCCAGUGCAUCUGUAGUCCAUGUGUGGCCACUGUUCGGGAAGUAAAAUUGGAAGUUUAUGUUCUGAUUCCAUAGAGAGACAAACCUCAAUCAGAGUCUUGGCCCCAUCAUUACUGUUCCUGAGAUUUUGAGUGAGGUGAGUUACCUCCAUCUUGGAAUCUCGGGCUUAUUAUUUGAACAAUACGAGUUAUUUCAUGAAGCUGUUGUGUGACUAAUUCAUUUAAAGAACUUUGCCUUUUGCUUGGCACAUUCAACAUAUAUUAGCUGUUAUUUAUGCAAACCAUGUCUUAUGCACAUGGGCUGACCCUUUUCACAUUUCACAAAAUUUAGCCUCUUCACAAAAUUCAGGUGCACAAAGCAUGACAUUGUUUUAUUGAAGAUUUGUGGAACUAAUAUACAGAAUGAAUAAAGAAAUGAAUUCUUGGCAAGUUGUCCUCAUAAGACCCGUUUCUCUGAUCCUUUCUUACUUAGCUGUUAGAGUCUUGUAAGACUUCCAGGUGGGGAGCACAGAGGCAGUAGGUCCUGCUGGGAAUGUACCCUGGCAUGUGUGUGAUAAGACCCACUUUUCUAUUGCCCUAGAAGAAGCUCUAGUGGGAAUCCUUCUGAAGGCCAAGUUCAAGUUCAUGCCACUGCGUUUGGCAUGUAUGGGAAUACACAGAAAUCAGAAGACACAUGCUUAGCUACUAAAAGGCAAACUGGUAGAAUAAUCCACAAGUUUGGUGCUGACUCCAGAUGGCUUGGAUUUUAACCUAUUAUAAAACGUUCUUCGAUAAUACCCUUUAUAUUAAUAAAAUACCACUUUUUAAAAAAUCUUAAGUGGAAUUUGGAACAUGUAUUUCCACAAAUUAUCAUCCAUAUACUUGGGGAUAUUUUUCAUUGCAGUGCAAGUUGAUUAGGUAUGAAGGGUGUUUUGCACUUAAUACCAGCCUUAUGCUUGAUCUUAUGGAAGAUUCCAGAGAAAUGCAAGCCACAUUUCCUUCCCUAAGAAGCCUAUAAUUUCAGCAGGGGAAGGAAGAGGAGGAACUAGCACAUGUUUAAUGCAGAGAAGGAAGGAAAUGGUGGAGUGGGAAUGUUCUAAGGAAAAGGGAAUGCAAUGUGAACUUGGGUGUUUAAGAUGGUUGUGACUUGGGUGAAAGCCUCAGGUGAAAUUCAUGAAGCAAGGAGUAACAUGGACAAAGGUGGGAGAAAGAAUAGGAAAGAUUUGUGUAGAAGACAGUGAGCCUAUUGGCCUGGCAGGGGUGGGAAUCAUGGAAGGUAGAUUUGGGAAAGGGAAGUGGACUCUUACUGGGUGGGGCUUUUUUUUGCCCAGGGAAGGCAGUAGUACCCUCCAAACAUUGUUCCAAGCUACCAUCUUUUCCCCUCUAUUGAUGCCACAGGAUCCUAGCUGGUGUCCUGGAAUCCAACCUGUACUGCUUACAUCUAGUGAAGUAAUAUUUAAAAUACUGAACUAAUCUUGGGACGCCUGGGUGGCUCAGUUGGUUAAGCAGCUGCCUUCGGCUCAGGUCAUGAUCCCAGCGUCCUGGGAUCGAGUCCCACGUCGGGCUCCUUGCUCCGCAGGGAGCCUGCUUCUCCCUCUGCCUCUGCCUGCCACUCUGUCUGCCUGUGCUCUCCCUCUCUCUCUCUCUCUCUCUCUGACAAAUAAAUAAAUAAAAUCUUUAAAAAAAAAAAUACUGAACUAAUCUUGUCAUCUUCCUGCUGAUAACCCUUUCUCAGCUUCCCUUUGCUAUUGGGAGAAAGACAAGACCUUUAAUCUGGCCUGCAUGGCUCUUGUUUCUGCUGACCUCCCAGCGUCAUCCCACCUCCUUCACACUGUCUUCAGCUCUCCCCCUUUCACACUCUUCCCUCAGGCUCUUUUUCAGUCACCCUGGCCCUGAUUCAGUUCCCCAGUGCACCCUUCCACCCCACUAGAAGCUUUGCCUGUGCUGCUGCUUCUGCCCAGAAGGCUCUUUCCCCCCACUAUCUCUUUGACCUAUUAGCCAAUCUCUAUCUUACAUACCGAAGCUCACAUAAAAAUUUCUGGGGGAUGCUUUCCUUAACUCCUCAGACUAUAUCCCAUAUUGUAUGCUCCUAAAACACCCUGAACCUCUGUCUCAUAAGACCAUCUCAAUUUGUACUUACCAGUUUAUUUAUUUUCUUGUUUUAAUGCCACCCUACUGGACUGUAAACACCAAGAAGAAAGAAAACACAGCAGUUUGCUCUCCAUUGUUUUUCUCGCAUGUAGCACAUUGCCUGGCAAAGAGUUAACAAAGAUCUCCUAGAUUAAUGGAUGGUUGAAUGCAUGGAUUAGUGAAUGAUUAAUAAAUGGACACACAGGAGUUUAGAUCGGAUUUGAUAUCUACUUCCUCACUACUAUCAAGUUUAUUUGAAGAAUAUUAGUUGCUUGUUUUAUUUAAGCUUCCUAUGUCUAUCUUCAUCCAGUUAGUUAUUUUAGAACUGCUGUUUAUGAGUUGUGAAGCCAAUUCUACACCCACCCUUAUCUUUCUUUCCUUUGAGUCUUGCUUGUUUUAAAAAAUGAGGUGAGGAAAGUAAAUACUCCAAUUUUGUGGUUCAGUUCACAUUUCAUUUUCUCUCUUAUUCUGAGCAUCUAAAUGGUUUGAAAAGCCAAACUUUUGCAUUUAUAUUGCUGUUUUCAUUGACAGAUUUCUAAGAGCUUUAAAAACAUGUAUUGAUACUUACACUAGCAUUCCAAACUACCAAAAUAUAUCCACAUUAAGCUCCUUUUAGAUAUAGAUGCUAUUAAUGGAUUCCCAAUACAGUAGGAACAGUUUCAAAUACAGAUGGAGGUUUUCAUUAAAUCCACUAAAUUGACUAAUGGUGAAUUCCUCCAAGAGGCAUCUGUCACUCUAAAUCCAACAACAACGAUAUCUGUUCAAAUAAUAUGUGGAUUUAGGAAGCUCUAGUUUGGAAAACUAAAGGAUUUGAAAUAUUUGCAAAGAGAAAAGGGUCGGAUAACAUUACUCUGUUGCUGACUUCUUGAGAAAUAUAAUUGAAUCUUCAGCUUUACAUUUUUUCCUAAUGUAUACAUCUAAAACUAUCUACUUUCCAUCAAGCACAAUUUUUUUUUGUCCCCUGUGGAUUUUGUUUUGCCAUAUUUUAGUAAUUUUCACUUAAACACAUUUUCUGAUUUCUCUUAGAAUUUCUUUAUUUGACCAUGUGUUCUUAACAAAUGUAUUGUUUCGUUUUCAAGCAUGUGACCACUUUCUAGUUAUAUUUUUUAAAAAUUUACUAUUAAUUUCAGCUUUAAUUCCACUGUGGUAAGAGAACAUUCUCUAUGUGAUUUCAGUUCUUUGCAAUUUAAGACUAGCUACAUGGUCUAUAUGCAAAAAUUUAUAAUUUUUGUAAAUGUUUUGUAGGCAUUUAAAUACAUAUUCUUCAAUGUGUGUAGUAUUACACAUAUGUCAACUAGAUCAAGUUUGUUGUGUUAUUCGAAUCUUUUAUACCCUUCCCGUUUAUUUUAGUCUGUGUUAUCAAUUACUGAGAAGUGCUUACUAAAAUCUCCAACUAUACUUUUGCAUUUGUCAACUUCUCCGAUUUAUUCUGCCAGUUUUUACUUAACUCUAUUUUGAUGUUAUGCUAUUAGUGCAUGCAGGUUAAGAAUUAUUGUAUCUUCUGAGAAGGUUGGCACUUUCAUCACAGAAUGUCUCUUCUUACCAUUUUUCUUUAAGCUCUUUCUUGUGAUUUCAACAUAGCUAUAUUAAGGUUUCUUAUUUGGUGGGAAGGGCAUUUUACAUGGAUUUUAUAAUUCUAUUCUUUUAUUUUCAGCUUGUCUCUUUACAUUAAAGUGUGAGUUCCAAACAGCAUAUGGGUUUUUUUUUUUAAUCUGUACUUUUAAAAAAGAUUUUAUUUAUUUAUUUGACCGAGGUCACGAGUAGGCAGAGAGGCAGAGGGGGGAAGGGAGGGAAGCAGGCUCCUUGUGAGCAGAGAGCCCAGUGCAGGGCUGGAUCCCAGGACCAUGAUCUCAGGAUUCUGACCUGAGCCAAAGGCAGACGCUUAACCCACUGAGCCACCCAUGCACCCCCUCUACUUAUUCUUAUAGUCUUUGUCUUUUAAUUAGAAUAUUUGGUUUGCUUACCUUUAAUACAUUUGUUGAUAUGUUUGAGUUUUCUCUUUGUCCCGCCUGAUAUUCAUUCCUAGUUUCUCUUUUCUAGUCAUCUUUUGGGUCCUUGUAUUUUAUUUUUCCACUUCUUUCUAUUGGCUUGUUAACACAUAUUCUUUCAUUUCAUAUUCACUAAUUUCAUGAAUAUUCUAUUCAUUUAGUGGUUACACUAGAGAUAAUAAUGUGUGUCCUUAACUUUGUUAGUGUCAUCUGUAAUUUAGUACUUUUAAACUUCCUGACAGUGCAAGAAUGUUAAAACACUUGAACUCCAUUUAAGUUUUUCCAUCUUUUUAUGCUAUUCUUGUUGUGCAUUUCAAUUCUAUCUAUAUUUUAAAUCUAACAUGCCAUUUUAAUUGUAUUAUAAAGUCAAUAACAACUUAGAUUUUUCUUGCGUAUUUACCUCUUUCUGCAUUUUUUGUUUCCUGCAAUUCCGUAUCUCCAACUGAAAUAAUUUUUCUUCUACUUGAAACUUCUUAGUAUUUCUUUUAGUCUGGGUCUUCUGGUAGUAGUUUUUCAAUGGGAAAUAUAUUUAUAUUGCCUUUAUUUUUUCUUUGCAUUUAAAGUUUUUUUUUAUUUUGCCAUAAUUAUAAAUUUACAAGGAGUUGCAAAACUGGUAUAGAGAGUUCCCAUGUAACCUUUAACCAGUUUCCUGUAAUGGUUGUGUUUUGCAUAAUUAUGAUAGAUAGAAUUUUAAAGUUGUCUCCCCCAUAUUCCCAUAACUUAAUUAUCAAUUAGAUACUGCUGUGAAAGACCUAUGCAGAUGUCAUAAAAUUUAUGGAUCUUAAAAUAGGGACAGUAUCCUGGAUUGUCUAGGUGGAUAUAAUCUAAUCAUUUGAGCCUGUGAAAGCAGAGAAAUUUCUCCAACUGAAAUCAAGGAAGCAAAAGAGGAAUGAAGCAAAAGGAGAGGUCAGAAGAUUCAGAAUGAGAAGGACUUUACCUGCCACUGCUUCUCUGAAGAUGACAAAGGAGCCCAUUAGCCAGGAAAUACAGGCAACCUCUGGAAUCUAACAAUGACUGUAGCCAAUAGCCAGCAUGGAAGCAGAGAUAGAUCUGCAUCCUACAACAACAUAGAACUGAAUUCUGCCAAUAACCUGAAGGAGCUUGAAAGUGGAUUUAACCCAGAACUUCUAGAAAAGAGUUCAGCCCUGCCAACACCUUGAUUUUGGCUCCAUGAAGCCAGGAACAGAGAAAUUAGCUGAAUCGUAUGGUGCCCAGACUUCUGACCUACAGAACUGUGAGAUAAUAAAUUUGCAUUGUUCAAGGCCACAUAAUUUAGGGAAUUUGUUACUGAAACAGUAAAAAAUGAAUACAAUAUCGACUUUACAAUAUCAAAUCUAGGAACCUGAUAUUGGCACAGUGUAUGUGUAUGUUCUAUGACAUUUAGCAUAUGUAAGUUUACGGAACCACCAAUGCAAUAAAGAUAUCAUUAC